rfam:Colletotrichum incanum strain MAFF 238704 contig3063, whole genome shotgun sequence.
UCAAAUGAUGACAAAGGACCCAUGGUCCGAUAAUCUUAACCCAGCUCUUCGAAGACCAAAGGUCUCCUGAGAUAAGAAACCCAUUCUGAUA